rnacentral:misc_RNA from 1 species
UUAAAUUCCCUCUUAACAACACUUUUUUUAAAGAAAAUAUCAAAAGUUAAAGCAAGGACCAAUCAACAUGAUAUUAUGGAAAGCAAAUAACAAAAAUCACAAAAAAAGAAAAGCUCAGCAUGAUAAUAUGUAAAACAGAAUGCUUGAAUAUGCCCCCAAAUCAACCAAAAACUGAAAUGUGGUGCGACAAUGAAGUUGAUGGAAACUGAAGAUUUCAAUCGAUAUAACAAAAAAUUAAAAAGAUAGAGAAACGGAGAUAGUCAGCUAGGGCUUACAGAGGAGAGCGACGGAAUGAGAAG